GACGAACGCUGGCGGCGUGCCUAAUACAUGCAAGUAGAACGCUGAAGAGAGGAGCUUGCUCUUCUUGGAUGAGUUGCGAACGGGUGAGUAACGCGUAGGUAACCUGCCUGGUAGCGGGGGAUAACUAUUGGAAACGAUAGCUAAUACCGCAUAAAAUUGAUCAUUGCAUGAUAAUUAAUUGAAAGAUGCAACUGCAUCACUACCAGAUGGACCUGCGUUGUAUUAGCUAGUUGGUGAGGUAACGGCUCACCAAGGCGACGAUACAUAGCCGACCUGAGAGGGUGAUCGGCCACACUGGGACUGAGACACGGCCCAGACUCCUACGGGAGGCAGCAGUAGGGAAUCUUCGGCAAUGGGGGGAACCCUGACCGAGCAACGCCGCGUGAGUGAAGAAGGUUUUCGGAUCGUAAAGCUCUGUUGUAAGAGAAGAACGGGUGUGAGAGUGGAAAGUUCACACUGUGACGGUACCUUACCAGAAAGGGACGGCUAACUACGUG
rnacentral:rRNA from 1 species